AGAGACUAGGACUUGGCAGGGCUGUGAAGUGAGCAGAGGAAGGGCGAGUAUGAACAAGCAGGGAAUGCUGGACUCCUACUAGGCUGUCUAUCUAGCUAAGAUGAUUAUGAUUCAAGGAGGAAGUACAAAAUGGUAUUAAGGCUCUCUUCCUCCACCCUUAAAAAUGUGGGUGAAGAUAAGCUACAUUUUCCCAGAAUCUGCUCAAAACAAGACAAAAGCAAUGUACUGAGCCAGGUGAGGAAGAAAGGCAGUGCACCCCACAGACAAGACUGCCCUGGUUGUACGGUGCUACAACAUGAUCUCAGUUGCUGUUAAAUAAGUUUCGCAAGAAACUGAAGAAUGGAAAGACAAGAGAUGAGGAACAAGUUUCAGAGAACAGAAGGAAUUUGUCUUGGGCUGCACAGUCACUAAGGAGAGAGCAGGCACCCAAACUGUGCCAUUCCCUGUCCUCUUGGGAGCUAUACUCUUCUGUAUCCCUGCUUCUGUUCAACGUAUCUGGCUCAAGAGACAUUUACAAAGGAAGGAAACACUCGUUGUAUGAAAAACAAACAUGAUAUAAACCUGUUUCGUUAGCUUUCAAGACUACCCUACCCAGGGGUGGCUACCCUAAAGAGAAUAGCAAAGUUGAUAAGAGAAAGAAUGAUAAAACUAUCAGAUUUCUCCCUAUCACAUUUUUCAAAAUAUUUCACCACAUCUGAAGAGGUAUUUUUCAUUCAUUUUCUGUAAGAUAGUAGAAAUGAAAGUGGUCUAAAACGCUAAAUAAAAGGGAUAUUGUUUGUAUUUAUUACUUCUUGAAUGCAGUGUAUAUUUAGAACUCAGAACAAUGGUUGUAUUUAGCCUAUACACUCCUUUUAAGAAAUUCACCCCAUGUAUGUGGGCAGCCUUAGAUCCUAGAUUCAUCACAGCUUCUAUUUGUGAACCAUUAGUUUGUAUCCCUCUUUUGACAACCACCUUGGAAAAUAAUUUCUCUCUCAUGCAAACCUGUCCCACCUUAUUGAAGGCCCACUGUAGCCUUUACAACUUAAAACAGUUCUCUGUACUGAAGUAGUCAUGUUACUAACUGCACGAAUGACACUAGCAAGUUAAAACAACGUGAAUUCUUAAUGUAUGUCGGAUUUAAAAUUCUUUUGAUCCCCGAUUUGUUGUGCUCAGCAUUGUAGUCUGUGCAAAGCAAAGUUAUUAGCUGAGAAAAUUAAGAUGUUUGAGUAUUCUAUAUUUCUAUUCUUUGAUGUGUAUAAAAAUUAGAAUUGGAAUUACAAUUAACUCUGAAGUUACUAUCAGAGCAAAGUAAACAAAAUGUCAUUGAUAUGUAAACAAAUUCAAUGCCCUAAUCAAAAAAUGUAAAUAGAAUGGGAUUUGAAUUCACAUCAUAUUAAUUCUAAAGAGAAAGUAUGAUAGAAAGAACAUGAGCAUGGAAAUAGCAAAACAACACAGGUCAGGUAUGAGUUUUUGAAAAAUCCUGAUUUGAAAAUCCACUUGUUUCCUUAAUAAAG
rnacentral:lncRNA from 1 species